UUGGCUACCCAGGACGCUCCAGGGGACUGGAGGAGGCGCUGCCUUCAGGGCUCUCCUGGGAGAUUUAAGGAAGCUGAAAUGACCCAUUUUUCUGAACUCUGACCUCCAUCUUUCGACCUUCAUAAUUCAGGAUCAACAUGAACCUCAGUUGGUCUGCAGUGAUAUCCUGCUAUAAUCCAGAACUACGUUCAUGGACACCAUUACCUGUCCCUAUAAAAAGUAGCUAGAGACUUUCAGGCAUUUCUAUGCUUACGUACAUAACAAAGAUGAAGAUAUGCUUCCGUACCUGCUUCUGAGGAUGAAAACGCAUGAUUU